GACCGGCCGCAGGCGCUGCUGUGAGAUGCGGCACCGCCUCUCGCGGUCCAGCCGGAAGUUUGUUUCCGCCGCGGGGUCUUCUGGGACGUGUAGUGUGGCCUGGGAGCGCCAUAGGGCCGAUCGGUUGGCCUUGAUCGCUCAGGCCCGGGCGAGGGGUGACUGCGGUGCGUCCGCCGCAGAGUCGCGGAGACCAGAACACCUGGCCGGCGGAAGGGAUGAUAGAGCGGAGUCUGAGGAGCCUGAAGAAGAGGCAUCCCAGGGCCCUGACAGCAGCCAGGCCUGUUGGGGAGAAGGGCAUGGGGGUGACCCUCCUGCCGCACAAGCUACCCAGCCAGCUUUAGCAUUUACUGGGGACAAACAGAAAGAAGAGCCAGAGGACCUAGAAUCCCUGGCGGAGGUCUGUGCUGUUUGGAUUGGUGUGAUCCUGCCUUCAACAUUGCCCCUCUUUCAAGACCUUACCCACUUUGAGAACGAACAGGACUGGAGUAAAGGCAAAGAUCUGUCCUUCCCUAAGAGGGACCCAGGGCCACAGGCACUGGUCAAGACUAUUGAUUGUUCUAAACUCUCUAGCGUGAGUGUAAAAAGACAGUUGUAUUGCCCUGGACUUCCUGCUGGCCAGUACAGGGACUGUAUGUGCAGUUGCCAACACUUCUUGCCACACUUGGAUCAAUGAAUCAGGGAAAGCAGAGCAACCCAUUUCCCACCCUAGAAAGAAGGAUGAAUCAUCUCAUGACCAAGAAGGAAUGAACAAUGAUGACUUUGCUAUAUUCACUAG
rnacentral:lncRNA from 1 species